CUGGAUUGUUCCAUCAAUCAAAUCUCAGGAAGUAGCUCCCCACAUGAGCAAGAGAGCAUGAGGUGGAGAGGGAGUAAGAUCACUGGAAAGCAGCAUGCUGCCAGACCACCAAAGGACAUAGAGGUUGAAGCACAUCCCUAACACCCAGACAGAUCUAAAGAACUUGGGAACCUCCCAGCCACUAGGGAAAUAAUCUUGUUCUUGGAGUUUAUUCACAAGUCUUUGCAACUUUUCUUACGAACAGCACAACACAAGCCCCCCAGAGCACAGAAAAGUGAGUCUGCUGGGCCAUGGCACUCUUGAGCAGCACAUCAAAAAACCUGCCACCAUGUUACCAGCUAUCGACAGUUCGCAGAGGGAUGCAACUAUCAAGGCUUUAAAUUGUCAAAUUUGGGGAAUGGCCACCAAAUGCAAUAACGUUUUGUAUAAACUACUCGUUCAUUUUUUAAUAGGUUACAAAACAAUAACUGUUUCUUCGCCUGUUCUCAUUUUUACUAACUGCUACGGUAACUUAAACAUCUGACAACAUACAGACUUUAUCCAUCAAGACAACCCUUAGAGCUUAUGAUUCAAAAACAUUUUUAUUCAUGUUUAAAGGACAUCACACAGGUGUGCAAACUAAAAGACUGAAGAAUAUGACAAAUAGGCUGCGUUUAGAUAGGCAGCCCAAAUCUGAUAUUUUUUUCACCAAUUUGUAUUUUUACCAAUCAGAUCAGCUUUGAAAAAGACAAUAAAUACAUUACGUAUGUUUCACCACCAAAGCUGUGUUAGCAUUCACUGCACGUUGCAAAACAAUCCAACCAUUUUGUUAGUGUCAUUGAGAUGAAUGGGCAAUUAAAAUACAAUAUCCAGUUCAUAAGCAUUGACUAAUACCUCUAGGGUCCAUCUACUUUGUGCAUGACACAAGUCAUUUUUCCAACAAUUGUUUACAGACAGAUUAUUUCACUUAUAAU